GACGAGAUCUUGGGGAAAAAUCAAACUGUAUUUAUAAAAGAGAAAAUUGAAGUCUGAUCCUUGUUUUUUAAGAAAAAUGUGAACAAAGAUCGACAGAGAAAACAUACCCGAAAGUUGCAAAAAGAACCUUGUGUAAAACAACAUAUUGAACAAUGGAGUUGAUAAUUUUCGUUAUACUUUUUUUUGGAGUGAGAGGAAAAACGUGGGAGAAUGAAGUCAGUCUUGUAGAUUUCUAUGAUACAUUCGAUCCUGAGUUUACGGAGGACCUUGCAAGAAAGUUUGAAUUUCCGAAAGAAAACGGACUUGAUUUUAAAAACACUCCAGAAUGCAGAAAGUUCAAGAAAUUUCCUCACUCGAAAGAUUCAUGUCCUGUCCCAAAAGGUUUCACUGGUCACUGGGGUACUGGUUGCGA